rnacentral:rRNA from 1 species
GGUCAAGCUACUAAGGGCGCACGGUGGAUGCCUUGGCAGAAGCAGGCGAAGAAGGACGUGGCAAGCUGCGAUAAGCCUCGGGGAGCCGCAAGCAGGCUUUGAUCCGGGGAUUUCCGAAUGGGGAAACCCUGUACGGUGAACCCGUACAACGGCCAACUGAAUUCAUAGGUUGGCACGAGCGAACCCGGGGAAGUGAACCAUCUCAGUACCCGGAGGAAGAGAAAACAACAGUGAUUCCGAAAGUAGUGGCGAGCGAAAUCGGAACAGCCCAAACCGGUAACACCUUCGGGUUUUACCGGGGUUGUAGGGUCCGCAACAGUAGAGUUACCAAUCCAGUCGCUAGUCGAAGCCCUCUGGAAAGAGGGGCCAUAGAGUGUGAUAGCCACGUAGGCGAAAGCGAUCUGGACUCGAAGCGGAUACCUGAGUACCGCGGGGCACGUGGAACCCUGCGGGAAUCUACGGAGACCAUUCCGUAAGGCUAAAUACUAGCUUCUGACCGAUAGUGAACCAGUACCGUGAGGGAAAGGCGAAAAGAACCCCUGCGAGGGGAGUGAAAUAGUACCUGAAACCGUGUGCCUACAAGCAGUGGGAGGGCUAUGCCCGAAAGGGAAUGCCUGACCGCGUGCCUAUUGCAUAAUGAGCCGGCUAGUUAUUCUAAUCAGCAAGGUUAAGCGGAAGCGAGCCGUAGCGAAAGCGAGUCCGAACAGGGCGUUAAGUUGGUUGGAAUAGACGCGAAGCGGGAUGAUCUACCCAUGGCCAGGUUGAAGGUGGGGUAACACCCACUGGAGGACCGAACCGGUGACUGUUGAAAAAGUGUCGGAUGAGUUGUGGCUAGGGGCGAAAGACCAACCAAACU